CUCUCUCUCUCUCUCUAUAUCUCUGACGUAGUCUUAGAGUUUAUAAACGACGGCUAAUCGUUUGUUGAAAAACCCAAGUGCCCAUUUCUGCUUGUUAUGUAUAAUCUUAAUUUUUUGCUUGUUUUGGGACAUGCAGAACAAAGAAACUUGGCUCAACUAUUGGUCUCAGUUAAGGAGUGACGGGUAGAGGUGUUGGUUCUUCGUGUCACAUGGCAGUUCAUAUAUUAAGAUGUUUUAGAGCUCUGCUACGGAAACCUGCCCACAGUUCCUCUCAAUUUGCGGUUCUCAUUUCUGCCGGACUGGCGCGACUGCCUCAAAGAGAAGAAGAUUAAGUUCCACUGCAAUUCACAGUGAAUUUGUUGCAAUCCAUAUACGUUACAAAGAAGCAAAACAUCUGUUCCGAUUGUUUGCAAAUACAUUCAAACAUUUGAUUCUUGUAGAUUGCUACAUAUCCUGUUGUGUUAAUCAAACAUUAGUGAAAAGUUUUACUUUCUUUGUGGCCA